rnacentral:RNase_P_RNA from 1 species
GGAGGUAACAAGCUUAUGUAUACGGGCAAACAAACUAAAAGACACUUUGGUUCUUUAAUACUACCCGUGGGAAGGUCUGAGGAAAACCGCUAAAUGUCUUUGCUGGAUAACCUGUGAAAAUGGGGGCAGUGCUACCAGAAAAUAUAUCAUCUUGGACCGUAAGUACCGUUGAAGGACUCGCAAGGGUUUCCGAUGGGUUGGUUCAAGUAUGUUUACUGUAACGGCCUGUGGGUGGUAAUGCUAUGAAGUGCAAUACAUGAGGCCAGUCAUCUGGUAACUCAAUUCAGACUACUCUGUUUCCUCU